rnacentral:lncRNA from 1 species
AGUUUAGGCUCCUAGGAGAGUUGAUUCUGGCUGACGUGCUGCGACUGUCAUCUUUCAGAUCAGAGUAACUCUGAGUCUGGUGGGAGUGUCUUCCCCCGACACCCCUUAUACCCCCGCUUUAAGGUGAGAGAAUCUUCUGUCGGUGCUAGCGUUCAGCGGCUAACGGAG